CUUCUAAAUAAAGACCAGUAUGAACGGCUAAAUGAGACAAACCUGUCUCUAAUAACUAAUCAGUGAAACUGAUCUUCCAGUACAAAAGCUGGAAUAUACACAUAAGACGAGAAGACCCCGUGGAGCUUAAAACAAAGUACUAACUAUCAAGCCCUAGUACCCUGUUUUGAGUUGGGGCGACUUCGGAAUAAAACAAAACUUCCGAGCACAGAACCACCAGUUCAAGCCAAGGCCAACAAGCCUAAGCACAGUACGGACCCGGCCCAUGCCGACCAACGAACCAAGUUACCCCGGGGAUAACAGCGCUAUCUUCUUCAAGAGUCCCUAUCAACAAGAAGGUUUACGACCUCGAUGUUGGAUCUUGACACCCAAAUGGUGC
rnacentral:rRNA from 1 species